UGGGGAAUAUUGCACAAUGGGCGCAAGCCUGAUGCAGCGACGCCGCGUGGAGGAUGAAGGUUUUCGGAUUGUAAACUCCUGUUAAGUGGGAAGAAAGGCAUGUACCUAAUACGUACGUGAGAUGACGGUACCACUAGAGAAAGCACCGGCAAACUUCGUGCCAGCAGCCGCGGUAAUACGAAGGGUGCAAGCGUUAUUCGGAAUGACUGGGCGUAAAGAGCGUGAAGGCGGUCUUUUAAGUCAACUGUUAAAGCACUCAGCUUAACUGGGUACAUGCGGAUGAAACUGAAAGACUAGAGUGCAGAAGAGAAAGGUAGAAUUCUCGGAGUAGCGGUAAAAUGCGUAGAUCUCGAGAGGAAUACCGGUUGCGAAGGCGGCCUUUUGGUCUGUAACUGACGCU
rnacentral:rRNA from 1 species